rnacentral:rRNA from 1 species
GAUGAACGCUGGCGGCGUGCCUAAUACAUGCAAGUCGAGCGAACAGACGAUGAGCUUGCUCCUCUCACGUUAGCGGCGGACGGGUGAGUAACACGUGGAUAACCUACCUAUAAGACUGGGAUAACUUCGGAAAACCGGAGCAAAUACCGUAGAAUAUAUUGAACCGCGUGGUUCAAUAGUAAAAUACGGUUUUUGUGGCACUUAUCGAUGGAUCCGCGCCGCAUGAGGUAGUUGGUAAGGUAACGGCUUACCAAGGCAACGAGGCGUAGCCGAAGUGAGAGGGUGAUCGCCCGCACGGGAACGUGACCACGGACCAGACUCCUGCGGUAGGCAGCAGUAGGGAAUCUUCCGCAAUGGGCGAAAGCAUGGCGGAGCAACGCCGCGUGAGAUAUGACGGUCUUCGGAGCGUAAAACUCGGUUAUUAGGGAAAAACAAAUGUGUAAGUAAAUAUGCCCUUCUUGACGGUACCUAAUCAGAAAGCCACGGCUAACUACGUG